CAGCAGCCACGGUAAUACGGAGGGGGCUAGCGUUGUUCGGAAUUACUGGGCGUAAAGCGCACGUAGGCGGCUUGGUAAGUUAGAGGUGAAAGCCUGGAGCUCCACUCCAGAAUUGCCUUUAAGACUGCCGAGCUAGCAGGUGAGAGAGGUAAGUGGAAUUCCGAGUGUAGAGGUGAAAUUCGUAGAUAUUCGGAAGAACACCAGUGGCGAAGGCGGCUUACUGGCUCAUACUGGACGCUGAGGUGCGAAAGCGUGGGGAGCAAACAGGAUUAGAUACCCGCGUAGUCCCUGUCUCUUAUAC
rnacentral:rRNA from 1 species